rnacentral:rRNA from 1 species
AACGAACGCUGGCGGCAGGCUUAACACAUGCAAGUCGAACGAACGUAGCAAUACGUGAGUGGCGCACGGGAGAGUAACACGUGGGAACCUACCUUUUGGUUCGGAAUAACGUCGGGAAACUGACGCUAAUACCGGAUACGCCCUAUGGGGGAAAGAUUUAUUGCCAAAAGAUGGGCCCGAGCUAGAUUAGCUUGUUGGUGAGGUAACGGCUCACCAAGGCGACGAUCUAUAGCUGGGCUGAGAGGAUGACCAGCCUCACUGGGUCUGAGACACGGCCCAGACUCCUACGGGAGGCAGCAGUGGGGAAUAUUGGACAAUGGGGGAAACCCUGAUCCAGCCAUGCCGCGUGAAUGAUGAAGGCCUUCGGGUUGUAAAGUUCUUUUGGUGGGGACGAUGAUGACGGUACCCACAGAAUAAGCUCCGGCUAACUUCGUGCCAGCCGCCGCCGUAA